GAUGAACGCUGGCGGCGUGCCUAAUACAUGCAAGUCGAGCGAACAGACGAGGAGCUUGCUCCUCUGACGUUAGCGGCGGACGGGUGAGUAACACGUGGAUACCCUACCUAUAAGACUGGGAUAACUUCGGGAAACCGGCGCUAAUACCGGAUAAUAUCUUGAACCGCAUGGUUCAUUAGUGAAAUACGGUUUUUCUGUCACUUAUAGCUGGAUCCGCGCCGCAUUAGCUAGUUGGUAAUGUAACGGCUUACCAAGGCAAGGAUGCGUAGCCGACCUGUGAGGGGGAUAGGCCACCCGGGAACGGAGACACGGUCCAUACUCCUACGGGAGGCAGCAGUAGGGAAUCUGCCGCAGUGGGCGAAAGCCUGACGGAGCAACGCCGCGUGAAUGAUGAAGGUCUUCGGAGCGUAAAACUCUGUUAUUAGUGAAGAACAAAUGUGGAAGGAACUAUGCAGGUAGUGACGGUACCUAAUCAGAAAGCCACGGCUAACUACGUG
rnacentral:rRNA from 1 species